ensembl:lncRNA
GGGCUUUUAGUCAUAUACCUGUGUUGUUCACUAAUUCUGGUGAAUUAUUAACCUAAAGCCAGUGUGGUCUUCUGAAGUAUCCAGUUAUGCCUUUUGGUUUAGAAAAUACUUAAGUAUUAGUCUACUUUUCUCAUUCAUGGAUCAUUGCAUUUUUGUAUCUGAGACUCAGCAUCUUUUCCUUCUUGUAAAUGAUUUUAGUGUUUUGGUUUAGUGUAUCCUACAUACUCCUGUAUUAUUAGGUUCACCAGUGGUGAUAGAAAAAUUGAGUAUCUCCAAUUGCAAACAGCAGUAGAUUUGAGUAUUGAAACAAAAUCAUGGUGACAUCACUGCUGGGGUUCCUGAGGCCUUUGCAACAUAAUUCACCUCUCACACCUUGCUUCUAGACAAAGGCAAUUGGAGGGGUCCUAUCUAUCCUAGUAUGGUUGGAAUCUAAAUAUAUGCGUUUCCAUUAUUUUGGGAACUAAUUAUUUUUUUUUAAAGAUUUUUUUCUUUUUUUUUUAUGAGUUAUUUUGAUACUCGUGCUAGGAAAAGGGAGAAACUAAACCAUCUUGAGAUCGGAAUGCCUAUUUUAUUCUCCUGGGUUCGGGAGAAUUUAAACAGUCUAUGCAACCCACCAGAUAGUGAGAAAUAGCUUCCUGCCAUUCCACUGAGCUCUCGGUGACUCAUACGUCCUCAAAUGUCCUGGCGUUGGUUGAGGUUUGAAUCUUUAUGUUUAGGAAGCAUUCUCACAACAGCACGCUGUCAUUUCUUUCUUACCCCUCAGCGGGUGGAAGGUUGGAGAAGAAUGGUACUGUGAUCUUACCUGAUGGAGUGGUCUAAGUUCACAGUUGUUUCAGAGUGGGUGGACUCUGUUUUAGUAUUCUGAGAUUGUUAGUAUGAACUUGGCAAUGGAAAGGGGAAGGAAAAGAAUGUUUAAUAAAAAUCAGUGUCUACUCUUUCCUUUAUGAGUGCGUAUUCCUGGUUGUAUGGCGAGAAACUCAUGGGUUUUGUGUUGCCAUGUGAAUGUCGAGAGGGAUGCUUGACAGCAUGUUAACUGAAGCCAGAGCAAGUGUGUCUGCCAUCAGGUAAUCUGGAGACGCCAGUGUAUGCCGCAAGGAAGUGAGGAGCUGAGGACCAUAGUGAAAUCACUUACAGAGCGGAAGGGCUGUCUGGCCUAAGAACCCAAAGGAAACAGUGCUGCAGCAGCCUUGUAGGUGUGAUUUAGGGUUCUGAACUGGAGACUGAUCUUUAUUACCUGACUUGCCACACGCAAAACUGUUCAUUUUCUUAUCAGACCAAAGAACAAAAAGAAGAGAAAAAUGAAAAAGCAAAGUCACACUUUUACCGGUUUAUGUCACUCAGGUACAAUUGUGUGGUGAGGUUUUGUUUUUUUGUCUGAUUUUUUUUUUUUUGUACUGCUCAGCAUAUUAUUCUGCUGUUGCUUCUGUCCUCUGUGGGGCACCUGAGUUUUGGGUGCUACUCCUGGGAUCUCUACUGCUGUUAGGUGAAUGACAGUACAAUGGAAGUGACCAUUAUCAUAAGGGCUCUUUGUAAAAAAACUUUAAAAACGCAAAAAAAUUUAAAGAAGGAUAUUGUAUACAUUUUAUAGUCUGGCUAUCAGUUUGAUAUCUUGCUGUCAAGGAUGUUUCUCAAUCUGUAUUUAUCCAUCCCAUCAAUAAACGUUAAUGAUAAAA